GAAAGGAAAUGACGAUACCCUGAGCGCUUCCGGCGAGUUGGAAAAAUCGACGGAUUGGCAUUUCCAACUGUAUUUUCGCAGCCAGGCUGCGUCCAGGCCUUCGUAGAACAGCCAGAAGCUGAGAAGAAUUUGUACGGGUGAUGGUAUGAGGAACCAAUCUUUCGUUCGAGGAUCUGAGAUCAAAAAAAAAAAAAAU